ensembl:lncRNA
GCCGGCCUCGCGGGGGCGCCCCCACGCGGAGCAGCCGGGCCCCGCAGCCCCGCGUGCCGUCGGUUGGAGGCCGCGCCGCUGCCUCACGGACGACGGAAACUGAGGCUGAACACCGCGGGGAGCGGCCAGGAGCCCGGGCCGGGGAAACGGGUGGCUGGGAACCGGAUGCCGGCUCAGGCCCGCCCAGAACGAAAUCGAGUCCGACGGGAGGAGGAAGCCCCGCUCCGCAGGCCCCAGCCGCCCGUGCCCUGCUGCCGCCACCGCGCAGUUCCGGGGCCGCCCCGCCUCUCGCUGUCCUUCCGCAGGGCCAGCACCAGGCUCGGGAAGGCUGGGGAGCCCGGCCGACCUCUGACUGGCGGCGCCCAGCGUGACGGCGCCCUGCUGUGGCCCGGGCCAGGGCGAGGGGUCGGGCCGCGGCUCCCUUGGGGGGCCUGGUGCGCCAGGGAAGAGAUGAGCGAGCGAGCGAGCAGCUCGCUGGGAUCCAGGCAGCUCCUUCAGCUGUUAGCCAGUUAACCAAGCCCAGAGGAAGACGCCAGGCGGAUGAAAGUUUCAGACAGCAAGUUUCAAAUCGAGCCUAAAUCUUUGCUCUUCGAGUUAAUUCCGGAAAAACAAAACGUUCAGUUUCUGAAAAAGACCUUAAAAUGCUUAUUGAAAUGUAAAGAAAAGCUUCCUGCACCUCAAGAACUAACAGAAUGGUAUUUUGAUGAUGCAAACGUAAAUGAUUUAAAAAACAUGGAAUACUUUCGUAUUGUUACAUGACGUAUAAAAAUAUGAAGAAUAGAACAUUAAAAGACAUAAAGUGACAUUUUCACCAUAUAUUGAAAAGUUUAUUUGAAAAACACUUAUUUGAGAUUAGACUGGAGGAUGUCUAGUGUGUGCUCAUGUGCCUGUUGUUCAAAAUGCUUCUCUAUGAUUAGAGGGUCUCUUGCUGCUAUUUUCUAAACUAAAUGGAAAGGGAAAAUCUCUUCUCUGAAACAAACAAACGAGAACCUAAGAGCACAGGUCUUCUCUGAGGGGUGAACAAGCAGGUCAGUUUGUUUUCUGACAUUGACACGUAGGUAACUUAAACCUGUGCCUGCUGCUUUAUUCCUGUGCCACCCACCCACCCAGUGUGCACACUGUGAGUAUGAUGUCCAUCUCGCCCACUGUUACACUGCUGAUUUCAGCACCAGGCCCAUCAGCCCCGCUUCAUGGCCUGGAUCUGCAGGAUUCCUCAUGCUGCAGGCAUGGCCACUUGGAGCAGGGCCCAUGCUCAUGAAGGAGCUUGGAGGCCAGAGCCUGCUCUGGAUGUGGUCGGUUGUGCUGUGUUGGAAUUUGUGCAUCUGCUUGAGUGGUGCGGCCAGAGUGGCUCACUGGAGUCGCUAGGCUCCAGGACGCUCUGUGACGCUCGGCCCUGAAAGAGAGGGCCCUGGACUUUGACGGGUGUCGUCCCUGGGUGGGGUCCUGGUCAUCUCCCCGCGGGGAGGGACACAUGUGUGGCGAGUGUGUGCUGGCUGCAGGGGUGCUCCCAGAUGCCCCAGCCCUGCUUCCUGGAUGACACGUCCCCACCCAGCUGGGCAGCCAGGGAGCAGUGGAUGGAAGUGAUGAAGAGCACUCUGGCCAGAAGCAAGGGCCUUGUCCACGUGUCCCUGUGCUCUCUUUUCCUUCUGGGCCUGAGACAGCAGAUGCAUGGCGACCGCUGCCGUCAGCUUGCAUGAGGAUGACACUGAGCAGUGCCACCCUGCUGUCUUUGUUGGACGUGCAGUAUGAGCAAGAAAUAAAACUUUUUCGAGGCCACACGGA